rnacentral:rRNA from 1 species
UACGGGGGGGGCAAGCGUUGUUCGGAAUUACUGGGCGUAAAGGGCUCGUAGGCGGCCAACUAAGUCAGACGUGAAAUCCCCAGGCUUAACCUGGGAACUGCAUCUGAUACUGGAUGGCUUGAAUCCGGGAGAGGGAUGCAGAAUUCCAGGUGUAGCGGUGAAAUGCGUAGAUAUCUGGAGGAAUACCGGUGGCGAAGGCGGCAUCCUGGACCGGCAUUGACGCUGAGGAGCGAAAGCUAGGGGAGCAAACGGG